CCCUACGGGGCGCAGCAGGCGCGAAAACUUUACAAUGCGGGAAACCGUGAUAAGGGAACUCCGAGUGCCCGUAAWAUCGGGCUGUCCAUCKGUNUAAAUAACCGGUGAAGAAAGGGCCGGGCAAGACCGGUGCCAGCCGCCGCGGUAAUACCGGCGGCUCGAGUGGUGGCCACUAUUACUGGGCUUAAAGCGUUCGUAGCUGGUCUGUUAAGUCUCUGGGGAAAUCUACUGGCUUAACCAAUAGGCGUCUCAGGGAUACUGGCAGACUAGGGACCGGGAGAGGUGAGAGGUACUCCAGGGGUAGGAGUGAAAUCCUGUAAUCC
rnacentral:rRNA from 1 species